rnacentral:rRNA from 1 species
AUGGCGACCGGCGCACGGGUGCGUAACGCGUAUGCAACCUACCCUUUACUGAGGGAUAGCCCGGAGAAAUUCGGAUUAAUACUUCAUGGUACUAUAAUAUGGCAUCAUAUACUAGUUAAAGAUUUAUUGGUAAAGGAUGGGCAUGCGUGACAUUAGCUAGUUGGUGAGGUAAUGGCUCACCAAGGCUACGAUGUCUAGGGGUUCUGAGAGGAAGAUCCCCCACACUGGUACUGAGACACGGACCAGACUCC